rnacentral:rRNA from 1 species
GACGUAGGGCGCAAGCGUUGUCCGGAUUUAUUGGGCGUAAAGAGCUCGUAGGCGGCUCGUUGCGUCGGCUGUGAAAACCCGCAGCUCAACUGUGGGCUUGCAGCCGAUACGGGCGGGCUGGAGUUCGGUAGGGGAGACUGGAAUUCCUGGUGUAGCGGUGAAAUGCGUAGAUAUCAGGAGGAACACCAGUGGCGAAGGCGGCUUCCUGGACACCAACUGACGCUGAGACGCGAAAGCGUGGGGAGCAAACAGG